CAUGAUACUCUUGCCAAGAAUUUACUUAACGUGAUUGUGACUAGCAACCUUUACUACUUGUGAAAAUAAGUUCAUAACGAUUAGGUGAAAUUCACUUAUAUUCUAGCAUCAAAUUCAUGCAUGUAAAUUAAGCGUGCACUCUCAACCAACAUACACAAAUCAGUUUUUAUACGAACGGAUAAGUAAAUUGAAAUCACAACUUAUGAAAUCACAACCGAAGGUAAUCAAUUCAUAUUACAAAUAUAUACAUGGUUUCGAAUUAACCUCUAGCCAAAAUAAGUUUAUUUACACAUUAUUAACACAAAAAUAAAAUAGAAGUUUGGAAGGAUUUAACCGAGAGAGAAGGCAGCUUGCUGCUUCUGUCUUUCAAGGCUGCAAGGGCAGCCUUUCUUCUCUUUCUCCCCGCGAGCUGCCUUUCUUUCUCGCUGCCUAAGGCAGCUUGCUUUGCUUCUGUUUUUCAAGGCUGCAAAGGCAGCCUUUCUUCUCUUUCUCCGCCAGCUGUCUCUCAAGCUGCCAAAGGCAGCUUCUAUCCGUCCCUCACUCCUGUCUCUCCAGCUGCCCCGCAGCUCUCCCCUUCCCUUCUCUCCGUUUCUGACCUCUGUCCGUGUGGACUCUCCCCAAUCAUUCUUUAUUUUCCUGCGCACCCUGCGCACUCCUCUGGGCUGCCCAGACAGCCCACUGCUGUCCUCCCCUUUUUCUUCUCUUUUGCCUUGGAUUCUUUCCUUUCUUUGUCCAACUCUUUCUUUCCACCGUUUUCUUUCUUUUUUUUUUCUACAAAACAAAACCAUCAUGAUGAUGUUUCAAACAUCAUCACGACUUAUCAUUAUUAAAUAUAAUUUUUAAUUUAAUUUAAAAGCUGAUCUACACAGACAGUUUUGACGAAUUUAUUACAUAAAAUUUCACUUGUUCUAUUUUUAUUUUCUUUGCAUAACAAAUCCUAUAAACACAAAAAUAACGUAAAUAGCUCAAAAAUAUAAGGAACUAACUAAGAAAAGACGAGUGAAUUCGAAGUAAAAAUAUAUAUAAAUAUGAUCCGAUCAAAUACCCCCACACUUAACUUUUGCUAGUCCUCGAGCAAAACAAAGAAAACUAGAACAAGAAGUAACAAGAAAAACAUUAGCUUCCCUCUAUGUGACCCUCAUAGAAUUUCAUUCGAGAAAACAAAUCAUCAAGAACCAUAGCUAGCACCAAACAAGUUAAUCCAAGUUCAUCUUCCUUAUUCAAAUAUUAGCAGUAAUCUUUGAAUCAUCCUUGAAGGGUAGUGUGUGAGAUAGCCAUGCUAAUGCAAUUUCAAGUUUUUAUUUUUAAAAUCAUCAUAUGCAAACUAGUAACCUUCUCACGGGAUAUACACUCAAUCACAUAUGUGUUUAGUUUUAAUGUGUUUCGCUCAAAGAAUCAAAUGUGAAAUUUCUACCAUAAGCUUGCAUAAAGAUCACUUCUCCACAGUCAUAAUUGCAAAACUUAAAUCAAGAGGACUUUUAUUGGAUGUAAUGAGGUUUAGGGAUAGGGUUAUUGAAACAAAAGAAUAGGAAACACAAAUUCCAAGCUACAUUGCAAGCAAUUUUUCUAUUUAGAUUUAUAAGAACUCAAUAUUUCCAACGAUUCUUUUAGCACCUCCAACCACACCCUUAAACUGAAAAUUGACAAACUUUUUAUUUCAUUUGUAUACAAUCUUUCUUCUUCUUUUUCUUUUCUUCUCUUUUUUCCUUUUUUUUUUUAUAUACAAACAUGAAAUACCCCCACACUUAUUCUUUUGCCAAACACCUUCAAAGUACUUCACAAACGUUUCUCAUAAGACAAUCUCGCAUUGCUCGCUUGGAAAGGGUAAUGAAAAAUGUUUCAGGUAUAAGGGUAGACAUAUCUGGUGAUAAGAAAUAAAAGGUUCAACAUACACGGCUCAAAUUGGCAAACUAAUGAUAUCAUUUUUCUUUGGGAAACAUGGUUAUUUGGGCCAUAGUGGUAAACCUAAUGCCUCUAUCAUUUCCAAGUUCAUGCAAUCAAUGACAAACAAUUCGAAAGAUCGUUACGCAAGUUCUAGAGAUGUAUCUCACAUAAGUUCAUCACACAAAAAAAAAAAAAAAAUAGGAGUGUAUGAAAAAUGCACACACUUUCAAUAGGCUCAAAAACUCACAUAGGAUGUAUAUGGUCACUAAAUUCACAUAUGAAGCUUUAAGUCAUACUUUAGUUUCACAUUAACAAGGCUAUGUGCAUUUGGUUUUUCAAAGAUGGUCAAACAUGUACAAAACUAACAAGAGAAUUAGGAAUUUCACAAAAUACAUGUUAACUAAGUUCUUGAUGAUCAUGGUUCAAAUUUGAUCCAAUUAUAUCAUUGGGUAGGGAAACUAACAAAAAAAAUCUAAUUCAAAACAAUAAGGGAAACAAGACAAUAUUUUUGGAUUUUUUAAAUUUUCCGAUUUUUUUUUUUUUUUUUUUUUUUUUUUUUUUUUUUUAAAAGAAAACAAAACUAAUUAAGAACACAAAAAAAACAAAACUAAUUAAGAACACAAAAAACAACAACACAGAGACAAAUGAAAUUCUGGAGAUUUCUACCCCCACACUUAAACUUGACAUUGUCCCCAAUGUCAGAAAACACUAUAACGCAAAAUAAAAAUAAAAUAAAAUAAAUAAAUAAUAAGAAACAAAAUAAAGCAAUUGGACUGAAAACUUCCCUAGUUUGCAGUAAAAUCAAGCGAUGACCCCCAAGCUAAAAUUCUGCAAUCAACUUCAAGGGUGGAAAUAACUAAAAGUUCCUGCAAAGAAAAGAAAUAAUUCAGUUAAGUACGCAAGAAAAUUAAUUAAAAAAAAUGCAAACGAAAAAUUGAAAAUUACGAUAAAAGAUAAUGAAUAAAACUAAUAAGUAAUCAUUGGUCGUGCUUGUUGACUUUCCACAGCUUUCCUCUUGAACAGGGUGACACUUAGCUUUUUACUAUUUGAUGAUAUUGUACGGCGGAGCUUUGCUCUUUGGGAAUGUUGCAGUUCCUUAUUUGUUCUCCAAGCAGAAUGUGGCAGCUUCUCUAGUUCCUCAGUUCGGACUCCUUCCGCUGGGAUGAUUGUGCAAGCUGCAUUCUUCUCUGCUUGUUUCUUCUGCACAAUGGGCAGGCACGAGGGAAAGGUGUUGGUCCUUAUUUCUUUCUUCAAUCUUUCCAAGUGCCCACCUCUUGCUUUCUUUCUCCUUGUCCCUAGCUGAAUUGUCUCCACAUGCUUCGAGGUCUCAUUUUCACCUCCCUUACUUGUCCCCCAAGUAGAUGUGGUAGACAAAACGGAAGCAUAAGAUGAAGAAGAUGAGUACUCGAGAGCAAGGCUAGGUAAGCAAUCAGGAAAGGGUUUCCAGGCAGUUGGCUCCAGAUUGGAAGAUUGAUACCAAAUGCUGGCUGAUUGCUCUCUUUCUCCUUGUCGGAAAAACAAAGACAAGGAGAAGGACAUGGAGAAAGCAUGAUAUGAGAUACUCUUGCUUUCAACCUUUAUGAUAUGAAAUACUUUUGCUUUGAAUGGGUUGUUCGCAGGAGUAUCCCAAGGAAUGAGGAACACAGAGUGACUCGAGAGGAUUCUUUGGGAAUGCAUUUUCGGAGAUGAAGAGGUGUUGAGAGGGUGUGCUGAGAGAGUGUGCUUUUGCUGUGGAAGGCGAAGGUAGAAACUUAUAGGACUUGUCUUCACAACCGGAACUGUUUCUCUCACUUAGUGUCGGCAGCCGGUGGAUGGGUGAAGAAUACAAAUUACGCGCUUUCUGACAAAGCUGCCCGUAAUUUCCGCAAAGCUGAUUCCUCAUUGAUAUCUGGAAUCGGCGCUUCGAGCUCUGAGCAUCGUCGAUUGUAGAGGUAGCAUGUGACACGUGCGGAUAAAUCUGGAAAAGAAGAUUUUCCCGUGGGUUGAAGCCCAGCUUUUGAGAAAGCUAGCGUGUCUUUGACUGUUGAAUUUCCCUCUUCGAUUUCUGAAUUGGUGCUUCGACAAACUGCCCGAGAUUUCCGCAAAGCAAUUUGCGUGUGACAAGUGACGACACGUCUGGACAAAUUGAUCUUUUGAAAUCCGGGGUUCGGCUCGUGGUUUCUGAGCAAGCCCAGCCUUUAAGAAAUGAAACGCCUCUUUUGAGAAAAGAAUCCGGCUUUUGAGAAAGGAAACUCUUCUUUUGAGAAAAGAAUCAGACGUUUGAGAACGGAGCCCCGACUCUUCGAUUUGCGAGAGGACGCUUCUCUGAGGAGCGCCUCUUUGAUUUCUUCCUUUUUAUAGAGACGUUAAUUUUGUUCCACAACACACUUGAGUACCCUCCUGUAAACACUCCCUUCUUGCACUUGUUUAAUCUUGAUCAUUCCGACUCUCUUCUUUCUUUACCACCUCUGAAAAAUGUCUGGCCCUUCUGAUCGUCGUUUUGACUUGAACAUUGGUGAAGAGGCAGCUCCGCCUUCACCAGACAACAUAUGGCGGCCAUCCUUCAUAUCCCCUACCGGUCCCCUUACCGUGGGGGAUUCGGUGAUAAAAAAUGAUAUGACAGCUGCGGUGGUGGUGGCCCGAAACCUUGUCACUCCCAGAGAUAACAGACUGCUCGCAAGGCGGUCUGAUGAAUUGGCGGUCAAGGAGUCUCUGGCUCUCAGUGUGCAGUGUGCGGGUUCCGUAUCCAACAUGGCCCAACGCCUAUAUGCCCGAACCCGUCACGUUGAAUCCUUGGUGGCUGAAAUACAGAGUCUCAAGCAAGAGAUUAAAGGGCUCAAGCAUGAGAAUAAGGAAUUGCACAAGCUCGCACACAGCUAUGCCACCAGCAUGAAGAGGAAGAUUGACCAGAUGCAGGACACCGAUGGUCAAAUUUUACUUGAUCAUCGGAGGUUUGUGGGUUUGUUCCAACCGCAUCUGCCUUCGUCUUCUGGGGCGGCACCGCGUAGUGAAGCUCCAACUGAUCAACCUCUGCCGCCUCCUCCUUCUGUGGCCCCGCCGACUGCUGAAGCCCCGCCUACUACUGAAGCACCACCCGACCAAUGAAUACUAUUAGUUUACAUUAUUGUAAAAUAUUUGCUUUUUUUUUUUUUUUUUUUUUUUUUUUAUGUAAUUUUUUUUUUUUUUUUUUUUUUUUAUGUUUUUUUUUUUUUUAAUUAACAUUAAUUUUAAAUUUUAUCUUUUUUUUUUUUUUUUUAAUUUUUUUUUAUUUUUUUAUUUUUUAUUUUUUAUUUUUUUUAUUUUUUUUUUUUUUAAAUUAAAGUAGAAAGACUUUGGUUAACCUUCCCCCAUACUUAAACUAAAUAACACAAACUCACAGAAAUCAAACAAAUAACACAACUAACUAAACAAAACAAAAUGAAAGCAGUAAAGAUAAGGGUGUAAAAUUGCAAAUCUGAUUGGGUUAGCGAUUCCAAAGUCUCCCUUCGUUGAAUGCUUGGGUUGCCUCCCAAGAAGCGCUUGAUUUAACGUCUUUAGCCGGACGCAUCUUUCCUUUAAAUUUCCCUCAGCUCCAUUUGUGCCUAAAAUCAAAGAAAGAAAAAUAAAUCAAAUAUCAAAAGUAAAAUACACAAACACCAAUAUAAACAUAAACAAAAACAAAAAUAAAAGGAUUAGCAAAGUUACUAAUCCCCGGCAACGGCGCCAAAAUUUGAUGCGAGAAUUACUUGACACACAAAUUAAACCCUCUUUUUGACAAUUGUAGUAUAGAUGUAAGUAGGGUAUCGUUCUAGGCCGGGGAUUAGGAGGGCUUGCUAAAACCUCUUAAAAACAUAAAAAAACAAAGUUAAAAAUAUUAAACAAGACUCAAGGACACAAAACUAGGCUAAAAACUCUAAUAAUUCGAAACACACUUAAAAUGACUCAAAAUAAUAAAAACAAUCAAAAUAAACACUAGGAAUUGAAAUGGACGGAAAUUGAAUUAAAAGACUAAAAACAAUGAAAACUAACUAAAUAAUAUAAUUUAAUAAUGGGGGUGAUUGGUUUUGACGAGAAGUAAAUUAAACUUAAAUAAAUUACAGAAUUGACAAAAACAUAAAAUUAAGGUGAAAUGAUAAAUGACGGACUAGCUAGAGGGUUCUUCUCCACACAUGACACAUAUGCAACCUAAAUUGAUUUUCAGUUGUUCUUUCAAUAAAUUGUGAAUCUCAAUACUCCAGAUUAACCGUGAACAGCACUUUUUUAAUCUUCAAGUUUUCCUUAAGUUAUUGAAUUGGACGGGAAAACGCAUACAACAAUUCAAAACAUUCUUCAAAAGUCCCCUACGUGAAAAGCACAAUAGAGAUACAAUCAAAGAUCAUUAAACUUUGUGAAAACUAUAAGCAUUGACGAGGCAUUCGUAACUAUGAAAAGCAUGAUACUACUCUUGCCAAGAAUUUACUUAACGUGAUUGUGUGACUAGCAACCUUUACUACUUGUGAAAAUAAGUUCAUAACGAUUAGGUGAAAUUCACUUAUAUUCUAGCAUCAAAUUUCAUGCAUGUAAAUUAAGCGUGCACUCUCAACCAACAUACACAAAUCAGUUUUUUAUACGAACGGAUAAGUAAAUUGAAAUCACAACUUAUGAAAUCACAACCGAAGGUAAUCAAUUCAUAUUACAAAUAUAUACAUGGUUUCGAAUUAACCUCUAGCCAAAAUAAGUUUAUUUACACAUUAUUAACACAAAAAUAAAAUAGAAGUUUGGAAGGAUUUAACCGAGAGAGAAGGCAGCUUGCUGCUUCUGUCUUUCAAGGCUGCAAAGGGCAGCCUUUCUUUCUCUUUCUCCCCGCGAGCUGCCUUUCUUUCUCGCUGCCUAAGGCAGCUUGCUUUGCUUCUGUUUUUCAAGGCUGCAAAGGCAGCCUUUCUUCUCUUUCUCCCCGCCAGCUGUCUCUCAAGCUGCCAAAGGCAGCUUCUAUCCGUCCCUCACUCCUGUCUCUCCAGCUGCCCCGCAGCUCUCCCCUUCCCUUCUCUCCGUUUCUGACCUCUGUCCGUGUGGACUCUCCCCAAUCAUUCUUUUAUUUUCCUGCGCACCCUGCGCACUCCUCUGGGCUGCCCAGACAGCCCACUGCUGUCCUCCCCUUUUUCUUCUCUUUUGCCUUGGAUUCUUUCCUUUCUUUGUCCAACUCUUUCUUUCCACCGUUUUCUUUCUUUUUUUUUUCUACAAAACAAAACCAUCAUGAUGAUGUUUCAAACAUCAUCACGACUUAUCAUUAUUAAAUAUAAUUUUUAAUUUAAUUUAAAAGCUGAUCUACACAGACAGUUUUGACGAAUUUAUUACAUAAAAUUUCACUUGUUCUAUUUUUAUUUUCUUUGCAUAACAAAUCCUAUAAACACAAAAAUAACGUAAAUAGCUCAAAAAUAUAAGGAACUAACUAAGAA
rnacentral:lncRNA from 1 species